rnacentral:snRNA from 11 species
AGCUUUGCACAGUGGCAGGAUAAACCAAUGAGGUUUAUCCGAGGCUCGAUUAUUGCUAAUUGAAAACUUUUCCCAAAACAGCAUAGUAUUUGUGCAAAAACAGGCAGCCUU